AUUGAACGCUGGCGGCAGGCUUAACACAUGCAAGUCGAGCGGGGGAAGGUAGCUUGCUACUGGACCUAGCGGCGGACGGGCGAGUAAUGCUUAGGAAUCUGCCUAUUAGUGGGGGACAACAUCUCGAAAGGGAUGCUAAUACCGCAUACGUCCUACGGGAGAAAGCAGGGGAUCUUCGGACCUUGCGCUAAUAGAUGAGCCUAAGUCGGAUUAGCUAGUUGGUGGGGUAAAGGCCUACCAAGGCGGCGAUCUGUAGCGGGUCUGAGAGGAUGAUCCGCCGCACUGGGACUGAGACACGGCCCAGGCUCCUACGGGAGGCAGCAGUGGGGAAUAUUAGACAAUGGGGGGAACCCUGAUCCAGCCAUGCCGCGUGUGUGAAGAAGGCCUUAUGGUUGUAAGGCACUUUAAGCGAGGAGGAGGCUACUUUAGUUAAUACCUAGAGAUAGUGGACGUUACUCGCAGAAUAAGCACCGGCUAACUACGUGCCAGCCGCCGCCGUAA
rnacentral:rRNA from 1 species